GGCGGUGGGGAGGGCCUUCGGGGCAGCUCCCGGCCGGUGGGGGCGCUCUUCGCUCCGGUCAUGAUGGCGGGCGCCUGCACCGCUGGUCUGGAAGUUAGCUGUGUUCUGUGGCCGCUGAGGAAACCUAGGCUGAGGCUGCCGGCGUCACGGUGCCUUUUUCUCCCGUUCCUUUCCUGUGAACCCCUCGCACCGUGUUUUAGUGUGUAGGGCACUGACUCGUAAUGGUACCUGGCUCUAUGAACUGAAGUGCUGGCAAAAGGCCGCUUUUGCUGUGCGGUGCUCAGGGUACGAUGCUUCUAGGCUUCAGGUCCUUUGGGUUGGGAUAAGUAUGAGGAGUAACUCACGAUUCUCUUGGUGAAGAAUUGCAAAAGUUGUUGACAGAAGGUCACAUCAAGUGAAGAUGCAAGGGCAUUUCAAUCACGUUAGAUCUAAUGUUAUUUUAUACUAAAAUAGAUCAUUAUUUCCUUUUGUUUCAGGUGCAUACAAUUAUUUACCCAUUCAUCUGGGGGGGUUUUGGAGGGAAAGCUUUAAUGUGUCAUGGCUUUAAAGUUCCCUUAAAGAUUACAUUUAAUAUUGUAAUAGCAUUUGUUUGCUUGCUUUUUGAUUUUCUCUUGAUCCUAAGAUGCCUCAUCUCUGCAAAUAAAAUUGGCAUAUUUCCACGUUGCUCUGGACCAUGACUCCUGAGAAAACAGUGCUGAUUACAGGUGUUUUUUUGCUGCUUUCUACACAAGACAAAUAUAGUGUGUCACUGACUGCAGGGGAUCUUCUGGUGUAACAAAGUUGGCAGCUCAUCUGUUCUGGAGAGCUUCAGGAAAUCUAGCUGUGCUGGUGUGCUUACACUGGUAGACUUUUCUGCGAAGGGCAAGACAAGAUAAAUGGGAGAAGCAGUCACAGAGAACCAUGAAAGAAAGAACAAAGGGAUGCUGAAGAGGAAGGACACUCAAUAACUGAUUGAAAGAGGUCCAGUAAAUCAUGUAUUCACAACAGUUCUUUCAGCGCAGUGCAGAGAAAAAGAGUGCAUGACAUGAGGGUCAGGAGGGGCAUAUUUGUCCCAUGGACAGAGAGAAAAAGGCAGUUAUCUGUGCAGAGGGAGAAAGAUCUGAGCAAAAGUGGUACAUUUGUGAAUAAGAAAGUUUGAAUAAGGAAGUCCAAAAAUGACAAGUAAAUGUUGUCAUUUUGAACAAUGAAUGCUGGUCAGUGAAUGGAAGCAGGAGUGAUUUCAUCUUUGUCCCUAAUUGACUCAAUGUGGAUAGACAAUGAGAAAUUCAGAGGAAACCUUAAAAUGUAGAUUUGGCCAAAAAAAAAUUAUUUUUGAAGGAAUAGAAUACUAUGGUAAUAUAUUGCUGAAAGGGGGCAGUGCAUUGGAGGAAACUCCUUUAAUGUGAUUUUUAUGUCCCACAUCAACUCCACAGCAAUGCAUGAAGUGACAGGAGGGUACAUCAGAAAUAAGGUUCAGCUACUAGAGGCAAAAGGACUGGUGUAAAAACAGGAAGGAAAGAAUAUGGUGGAGUUGUUGAGAAGCAUAAUGAGCUGUUCUCAGGAGCACUGAUGUGAGAGAAGGAGCCUGAUCGUGGUGAGCACCUGCUUACUGCAGCAAACCACAUCCAAGAAAAGUAGAAAAAUUAAAAUAGGAAAACGUGGCAAAAGGAGUACUGAAUGCCAGACGUGAAGGAAAGCCGAAGGUAGAGACUCAGUAGUCUGAAUGGUGCUGCUUUUUGUGCCUGUAAAGAAACUAAAGUUUUAGUAGAGUCCUCUGAUGUAGCAAGGAAUGGCCAUUAAAGACUUCUGUAACAUAUUUUUCAGUAGUAAAAUUGCAUGUUCAGUCAACCUCAUGGUGAAGAAGUACACGUGAAGAAUAAACAUUAAUUAAAGAAAUAUCUUUUUCCCUUCUAUAAAAGGAGAUGCUGAAAUAUCCAUGGGUAUGAUUGAGAGUAUUCUGAGUAAAAGGAACAAAUAAAGAGAACAAAUGUGAAAGCUAAGACACAAGGACUUCUGUGAAGGCUGUCAGCAUGAAUCCUUCAAAACUUGGAAGCACAAGCAUUUCAGGUGGACAAAAACAUAGCUAAUGUAAUCUGGGAGAUGCAGCAGAAAAGGUCAACCAGGGGAGCAGUACUGAAACUUGAAGUAAAUCAGAGAGGAAGAAAAGAGAAAGGAAUCACUAUGAGAGAACUGGUGGCCAGGGGGAGUCAUUGUCACAGGCAGACAGUCAUCAUAGGGUUUUGUAAUCUUAUUCUCUGUAAAUGGCCUUCUCUGUUACAUGAAUUGAGCAAGAUUUCGGGGGAAGGAGACUGAGGAACAGACUUUCCAAACUACACUGGGACUGACACUUACACUCUCUAGCAAGUAACUGAGAAACAGAUCACCUAGUGCUGGCUGCCGGCGUACCCCAGCUGAGCUGUGAGCUCACCCACGGCCUGGAGCACAGAACUCAUCCCGCAGCGCUGGUGCAAUGCAGUGCUGAGGCCUGUGUGACUCAGGAGGGAUGGCUCUUCCUAAAUCUUGGUGUUCCAUAUGUUUUCGGUAUUCCAGUGACUCCAGACAGUAUAAGGUAGCUGAAAAAUACAGAACAGAAUAUAAAUUUGCAGUUGUAUGUGAUAUAAUUUCCAAAAAUAUCUUCAGUAUAAUACAUUAUAGUUAUUAUUCAAGUGAGUUACAUCAAAAUCAUGUUUUCUUUCCUUAAAGAGGAAUGAAUUUGAUAUUUUAGAGGUAUGUUUAUAUUAGGUCUCAUUAGCUGUUCUUUAUUGCUUGAACUUUUUGAUGCUGUUUCUGUGAUUUGUGUACUUUCAUUUGAGGGAGAGCAAAUAUUUAUAAGAGUGAUGAGUAUAACAAAUAUAUUGGAGCUGGAGCUAUAGCAGCAGGAUCCUUCUAGCAUGAUUUGCAGUUGAAAAUAAUUACUGAGUGCUGCUGCAGAAACGCUGUUCACUGGUGAAAGAGGCAUAAGCAAAAUUAUACUGGAAAGAAAAUAACAGUAAUUCCAGAGUUUUGGGGUGAAAUAAAAUAUGAUAAAGGUAGUAAAUAUUUUAUUAUCCAUUUGUUUUGGCGUUUUGCCACUUAUCCAAGAGAUUACUCUGUUAGUGUUAGGAUUUACAAAGCACCCACUGACUGAAGAUGAUAAAUAUUUUCCCAGAUUUAAAUUUUUUGCUGGAAUUGAAAAAAAAAAAAUCAAAGCCUGCAUAGUCUUGUUCUUUUUACCUGAAUGUAAGUUAGAGGCUGUUACUUUUCUGAAACAAGUAGGAAUAGUUGAAGCUUUUCAGCUAAGGGGAAAAAGGAAAACUCAAAGAGGGAGAGUGAAAUAUUUUGCUAUUCAUAUCACUUUCUAGUAUAACACAGCAUGUAUCAUCAUGUUGUAAAGUAAUAAAAGAAAGAACAGCUUAGCUUCUAAACCUUGAAAUGAAAAAUUGCAAUUUCACUUGAAUGAUCUUGACAGUUGUUUCAGGACUGGCAAUCUUAGCGCAAGAAAUGAACUAAGAAUACUGACGUAAAACCACCAAGGAAGCCCUGAGUUUUGAAGGGAAAAUGAUAAGGCAAUCACAAGCAGCUCCUCAGAACUUAAAGCCAUUUUAAAUAGAAAGAGCUUAAAGGAUUAAUCUCUUAUACUGAAAUCCUGAAGUACAGUGGUAAUAAUUCUGGUAUGCACGGUCAUUAGAAUAAGAUUUCACAAGUAGCCCAAGGAAAUAAAUAUGUUAUGCAUCAUUUUUCAAAAAUCUCUCCAACUCUGAAAGUCAGCCAUAGAGUUGAGCCAUGAAAAAGAGCAAUAUUGAAAUGAUGAUGAAUCCUGAAAACUUCUGUGUUUUCUCCUUUUCGGUUUUGUUUUGUGAAAGAUUUGUACAGAGAGGUAGGAUCUAACUGAUUUAGCCAAGGGUAAAAUAAGCAGGUUACUACCAGGCAAAUCUUUGUCUGUUUUUUAGCACGGACAUAAAUGUAUAUAUAUAUACAUUUGACAGUGAAUCAGGUUUUAUAAAUAUCGUAUGAUAAAAGCUUUAAACUCAUAGCUGAUGUCAUACCAUACUUGUGUUCCCACUUUAAUAAUAGAAUUGUUAAUCUUAUUAAUAUCAAACUGAUCCCAUGCCAUCUUUAUUGUUUAUGAUAAAUGGACUUUGUAAAUGAUUUGUGUGUGGUACCCAUCUGUUUGGACCAGUUUUCAGAUAAUGCUAGCCAGCAUUCUUAUUAAUGCCCUAAAAAUUAAAAUCACUGGUGCUGCAUAUUUGUAGGCGGCAAAAAUUAAGAGCUGCAAAAUUGAUAAUGGCAAUCAGUGCUCUAGAAGAUAGCAAUCACAGUAUGAUUUAACAUCUGGAAAUUGAAGUUAAGGGGGAAAUCCCAUCAAAACACUGAGAAUCACAGAUUGGUCUGAGUUGGAAGGGACUUUAAUAGCCACCUGAUUCCAGCCCGACUGUUAUGGGCAGAAAGAUGGGGCAUUACAUCAUUCAGCAAAGGAUGUAGGAGCUUCUCCACAAGUUAAGUUCCUUAAGUCAUGACUGGAUGUCUUGCUGAAAGAUAUGCUGUAGUACAGCUACAAUUCUUUGGGCUUGAUUGAGGUUUUACUGUUUGAAACUCUAUGUUCUCCCAGCAGAAAAUCAGAGAAGAUGAUCAAAACAGUCUCUCGCCUUAAAACCUAUGAAUUGUUCUCAGAGCUGUUCCCUUCUGAGUUUCUUCUUACUACAUCUCUCUUGUGGGUUGUAUUACUUAAACACUCUGUAGUAGAGAAACAGCUACAUUACAUUGUUUUAGAUAUGGCAUGUGUAUAUAAAUGUACUUUGAUAUAGAUGUUUAGUGCUAUAUAGAAAUAAAAUGUAGUUUUACUGGAGUAUUUCCAAGAACACUGGUAUUUUUUUUUUCUGUGGCAAGAGGAAACGUGAUGGAACAAACUUACUUAAAUUGCUCUGUCUAAGAUCAGGUAUCAUAUACCUGUGUAGAUGAAGAAAUAGGGCCAUACUUUCUAGCCCAGCUAAGAUCUAUGCUGCUGUUUUCAAAUGUAUUGUGUCUUGGAAAGAGACGGGAAACUCAGGAGAGAAGGCUCCUUCUACAACAUGUUUCAUGAAAGGUGGUGUGGUCUGGGCCUUUCCCUUAGGAGAGGGUACCUCAAGCAAUUUCUUCCUGUCUUUUAAAUAAUUAGCCAGUUGAAGUGUGAACAUCUGUGCACAGUGAAGGAAUAAAUCACCACAGCAGCAGUUUUAUGAAUUCUUUAUAGUAUUCCAAUUUUCCGUCUGCUACACACUGCACAAUGGUAGAAAGUAUCUGCUUUAUUUCAAUGCCAGGAGUUGGCAACAUGCUCAAAACCAGUAAAAUUUAUUAGAAAACCAUCAUGGUGGAGAAAUAGCAGUCAUUUUUCAUCUAGUGCUAAGAAGUGAUGGAGUCAGGAUACAACUGACUUGAGUAGACUUUGGUUUUGUCCAUGGAGUUUUCCAUAGCACCAUUGCCUUUAGUGCUGUUUCAGUGGUUCAGCAGCCUGUCAGUACUUAACUUUACGUAGGCAAAUAUGUGCUGCUUUAUAAGCCAGUGCUGUUCCUCAGCACCAUGUCUAGUUGCACUUUUCAGCAUGUUCAGGCACACCUGGAACAGGGAUCAUGGUGCCCUUGGCUCCACUGAAAACACAGUGUCAUUGUCUCAACAAGAUGCUAUGAUGCCAGCAAAAGAUCAAUACCUUGAUGAGGAGCUGCUAGCUCAAAACCACGGUGAUAUUUCAUAGUUGGAACACUUUCCAAAGCAGUUCCCAUGGAGUGAAAUUCUAGCGACCUGAUUUGUCUCUCUGCUGAGCAAUUGAGUUGAUUCAUCUGUAACAACGUCUGCCAGCCUCAGAUAACAAGAAAAAUUGCACCGUCUAUCCGUGUUAGUUUUCAAUCUUUCAGGUAUUUCAAUAGUAUAUUUGCAAAAGAAGUGUUUCAAAUCCAAACAAUUAAUUCAGUGGGGAAGAGAGGAAAGGGCUUUAGCUGUUUCUUGCUGUUAAUUCCAGACAAGUCUUACAUUUAGUCCCCCAUCGUAUGACUGCAUGUACUUGGAAGCUCUGUGCUGCAGUGUGAAGGCUUGCAGCCUCCCAGGAGGUGUGUUUAAAGCCCACUGUGCUCCAGCCCUCCAUUCAGCUGCAAUGCCUACAUGCCAUGCCCACCUCUCCCUGACUGGGACAGGCCAGGACAGCCGUGUGCCUCCAUGUCUCAGUGUGGUGAGAAGCCAAGAGCUGAGCUGAAGGGAUCUUCACUGCAGCAAGCUCAGCUCUCGGCUGGGAAACGAGUCUGAGAGGAGAUUAGAGUUGUUCAGAGUGCUAAAGCAGCAUCAUUUUGGAUGUCAGUACAUAGUAGUCAAGGAUUAUGCAACUUGAGUAAAAUUGAUUAAAAGGGGUUCGUCAAACUGUUUGGACUGUUUGUGUCCUCUUGUGCAGAGUUGGCUUCAGCAGAAGUUGGCCCACAUCCUAGAUCAUCCAAUUUGAGAAUUUAGGUACCCAAAGGCAGUUACUUCUGUAAAGUUGUUUCCUUUUGUUACUGAGGAAGAAAAUAAUGACUCCAAUAAGUUUCAAUAUAAAAAAGAUUGAAAAGAGAGGGUUCAGCAUCCCUUCAUGUUCUGCUGACAUGUAUGCCGCUUUUGACGUUAUUUGUCUGCUUAUACUCUGGUUGAUAAAACCACAGUACUUAGUGCAGUUUUGAACUAAUUUCAAUUGUUACAGUAGAAGUUGCUUAUUGAUGUUAUCAUAGGAAGUAUAUAUCCCUUGACAAGAGGCAAGCUCAACAAUGUCAAGCUUCUAUCAAAUUUCUUCAGCUCAAAUUUAUCAAAAAUGUUCCCUGUUUCAUCCUUGUGUUCUGCGGCGCUGAAUAGCUUGAAGAGUUCACAAACAUUCUAGAUUAACUUUUAUCUUAACUUUUAUUAACAAUCCUCUCUAACUUUUUUCUUUAAACCCAAACAAAGCAGAACCCACUUUUCAUAUGGAAAGAUUGGGUUCUCCACUUCUGUGGUGCAAGAGCAGCCUGAGCAUUCACUUCACCUUAAGAGAAUUGCUCAGUGUUAGUUUGCUAUUUUGUUUA